rnacentral:rRNA from 1 species
AUGAACGCUGGCGGCGUGCCUAAUACAUGCAAGUCGAGCGAACAGACGAGGAGCUUGCUCCUCUGACGUUAGCGGCGGACGGGUGAGUAACACGUGGAUAACCUACCUAUAAGACUGGGAUAACUUCGGGAAACCGGAGCUAAUACCGGAUAAUAUAUUGAACCGCAUGGUUCCAUAGUGAAAGACGGUUUUGCUGUCACUUAUAGAUGGAUCCGCGCCGCAUUAGCUAGUUGGUAAGGUAACGGCUUACCAAGGCAACGAUGCGUAGCCGACCUGAGAGGGUGAUCGGCCACACUGGAACUGAGACACGGUCCAGACUCCUACGGGAGGCAGCAGUAGGGAAUCUUCCGCAAUGGGCGAAAGCCUGACGGAGCAACGCCGCGUGAGUGAUGAAGGUCUUCGGAUCGUAAAACUCUGUUAUUAGGGAAGAACAAAUGUGUAAGUAACUAUGCACGUCUUGACGGUACCUAAACAGAAAGCCACGGCUAACUACGUG